CAUGUUGAAGAUCUCAUAGUCACCCCUUUUGCUCAGGUGUUGGCUAGUCUACGAACUGUCAGAAGCAACUUCACAAUUCUAGCCAACGUCACGACUCCCACCAACAAGAGGUCACCAGUGACCAGUCAACCCACAGUUCCCCCAGCAACGCUCUCAG